CGCCCUUUUUUCCAUCCUUCUGUGUACAAUUCUAGUUAAGAUUUUUGACGCAUGGGAAGUUAAGCUAAUUGUUCUAUAUUUGUAUCUUUUUUAUCGUGUUUUUAGUAUAUAUAUUUUUGUAUAUAACUGUAUAUCAUGUAAUGUAACGUGUUAUUUCUGUGUAACUUCAAAUUGUGUUACAAACAGCUUUGGGCCACUUUAUUACACCCUUCAGGUAGGUAUCAAACAUUGGGGAAGUCCAAGUCCCCAACUACGUCACGCCGAACUUUCUCUGGGUACCUCAAGGGUGCAUAGCAACUUAGCAACAACAGAAGCAUUGAGCAAGGUGUCUGUUUUACUUAGGGGCGUGUUCUACUUUAGUGUAGACAAUUUAAGUCUUGGACCAAAGGGAGAGAAUAUUCACGAUCAUAACCAAAUUCAUAUUCAACUAUACAAUUCAACAAUUUAUAUUCAUAAUCAAUUCACAUUCAAAUUCAGCGUAUUAAUUCAAAUUCAAGUACAAAAUUCAAUUAUCCAAAUCAAUUCAAUCAAUUAGUGUAAAUAAAGUGUAAAAAGAAAAGCAGUCUUUAAUUCGAAGUAUAUAACCAAAAGAGCCUUCGGCGGGAUACCGCCAUAUACAUCAUCAACAAUCUAAUCAACAACACAUCAAACAAUACAUUCGCACCGAAUGCCACUCCAUUUUAGGAUAAUAGCAAAUAAGUAUGGAUUCAUAUUAGUUUUUGACAAUUUCAGUGUGUCAUGCAGCGACGGUUGCGAUCUGCAACAAGAAUUCGGUGGAUGUUAAGGACUCUACGAUGUAUAUUUCCAUGUUUCCGUGCAAUGAAUGAGCCAAAUUGAUAGUUGAAAAUGGAAUAAAGGAAGUUGUGUACCUAUCAGAUAAAUAUAAAGACGAAAUACCAACAGUUGCAUCAAAACUGAUAUUUGAUGCAGCAAAAGUAAUAUUUAGGCGGAUUAAACUGAAAAACCCGAAAAUUGUGAUAAGCUUUUCCGAUAUCAAUGCUGUCAGUAUGGAUAUAGAUUAUAGAGAAAAUAUAUAACAAUACAUAGUUGUAUUAAACUUUUAGACAAUUUA